CUACGGGCCGCUGCAGUGAGGAAUUUUGCGCAAUGGGGGAAACCCUGACGCAGCAACGCCGCGUGAGUGAAGAAGGCCUUUGGGUCGUAAAGCUCUGUCAACAGGGAAGAAGUUAUUUCAUAUAAAUAGUGUGAGAUAUUGACGGUACCUGUGAAGGAAGCAUCGGCUAACUCCGUGCCAGCAGCCGCGGUAAUACGGGGGGUGCAAGCGUGUAUUCGGAAUUAUUGGGCGUAAAGGGCACGCAGGCGGCCUUGUCAGUCGGGUGUGAAAGCCCGGGGCUCAACCCGGGACGUGCAUUUGAAACUGCAAGGCUUGAGUACGGUAGAGGGGAGGGGAAUUCCUGGUGUAGAGGUGAAAUGCGUAGAUAUCAGGAGGAACACCGGUGGCGAAGGCGGCUUCCUGGGCCUGUACUGACGCUGAGGUGCGAAGGCGUGGGUAGCGAACAGGAUUAGAUACCCGAGUAGUC
rnacentral:rRNA from 1 species